CUCAAACUUACAUUACUAUGAAUUAAAAACACAUGAAAAACAGAAGUAAAAUAUUAAUCGAAAUUUAUUCCAUCUUGUGCCAUUGGGAGAUAUUUUAAAACUUCCUUUGUUGUUCAAAGAGUCAGGCUCUGGUUCUCAUUGGUAGAGCAGAAGACUUUAUUGUGCUAUCUAACACUUUAUUUACAUUUAAGAAGAACAGAGCACUGUCAGAUAGGUCCCUCACACUACUUUUUUUUGCAGCACCAAUGGCUCUCUGAAUUGUGGAGAAAGUUUGAAGCAUUCAGCGAGGGCUGUGGAAAUUCUGCAAGGAAGAAGACAGCCAUUACCUCUCCUGUUGACAGAUUCCUUUGUAGUGUCUUAUGACUUGUUUACUGCUGUGACUCCUUUGGGAUAAAGACCUUUUGAGUCCUGACCACACUGUGACCCGGUCAAACAGCAUUUUGAAACAAAUGCUUCAUUUCAGACACUUGUAGAGUUAGGAUCUUUCCCCUGUCUCUGAUUUAUAUUACCUCCCCACGUUUCCUUGAUGGUUUUUACAGCCUUUAUUGCACUGCUUUGAACGUGCCUCUGUUUCCUAAAGCUGAAAGCAAUGAUUGUACCAAUCAUUUCCUAGCUUCAUGAGUCAGCAAAGCCUCAAGAACUAUUCAGCUGCCCAAAUGGAGGUUUCUAGCCAAAGAUGUCAAGACUGCUGAAUGUAGAGGCUAAAUUUCAUUCUCUGUAAUGGAAAUUUAGAUGAAUGUCUCACAUUUAUACAUCCACAUUUCACUGUGUCUGGAUUUGAACACCACUCCCUGUAUAAUGCUUCUGAAUGUAUAAGCCAAGACCUUGCAGGUACUUUGCUGUCACAUUGAACACCAAGACAAUAUCUCAUUUGGUACACAAACCAGGGAUGGGAAAGACCUCAGCUGAAUAAUAGAAAAAAAGAAAAAGUAAGGUAAAUAGCUACAACAUGGAUAGAUGACGGAUCUCCCAUGUCAUUGUGUCCAUGAGUAUGUUGUCAUGUGGGUAUACAUGUCUAUGUCAUCAUCAGGGUCUGACUGAAUACACUCAUUUCAUACAGUGAGAAACAAUCUUUUGGAGCCCAUUUAAUAAAUAAUGAAAAGUCAUUCUUGUCCUUUGUUUA
rnacentral:lncRNA from 1 species